rnacentral:lncRNA from 1 species
GAUUAAUCAAGGGCUCAUUCAAUUAAUCACCAUACAAAAUGUAGUUGAACAAUUAUAUCAUAAAUCCGGCUCGAUUAUAACAACUUGAGUCAAAACUUCAACCAACAAUUGGUUCCAUCAACCCUAGAUAAGCGUUUAGCUACUCAUAACAAAAUAAGAGGAAACUACUAAAUUGUUCAUAAUGUAAAAUUGCAAGAAUUAAAAGGAGAUAGAAAAACUCUAAUGUUUGGUUGAUCUUCUCACACUUGUUCUUGCCUCCAAAAAUAGUUUUAAAAAAACUUCGAACAAUCUUGGGCGAGUUUCUAAAGCUUAUAAGGGUUUACAAAAGUUUCCCCGAAAUUACACUUUGGUCCUCAAACUUCCAGCAGCGUGAACAGUGCACCGCGGUCACGGUCACUUGCGGUCGACCGCGGUGAGAGCUGACCUUUCUGCCUCACGAUUUUAAUCUAUCGCGGUUCACCGCGGUUCCACCACGGUCGCGAUAGACUUCUUGCCCAGGCCAUUUUCUGCUUCUUAGUGCUCAGGUACUUCUCGAGUGGGCAUUUUCUUCACAUUAUCACCUCCAAAACACUCCAUGUUGCUUCCUCUCAUAUAAUAUUCCCUGCGAAACAAAAGAACACUACUCAGAGCAUUUUGUUGGUAAUUUAUCUAUAAGACGGCAACAAAGUAUGGUCAUAUUAAGGUGUCAAUAUCAACUAUAUAGCCUACUAUCACUACCUCUUCUAAAAUUAAUAUUCAGAACAUCUGAUCGUAGAUGACAAAGAGCGUUCUAAGAUUAAAUUAGUAGCUAUCACAGAAAUUCAAGCAGUAAAAUGAAAGGUUAAUUGAAUUACAGUAACAAUUACACAUAUCUCAAAUGCACCAGAGGGGUUGCCUUCCAACUCCAUGUCAGAUCCCACGACCAUAUUCAGAUGCAAUUAACUGGGAUAUGUUGUACCAAAAAUUGCAAUAAUUUUUUUGCAUUCAUAUACAUAUGGGAGCAAACUAAAAGCUAAUACGGAGAUAUAGAAAACAGAUCAAAGACGUAGACAAACACUUUUGGUUGACUUUUAACUAUAAUACAUAUAGAUUUUCAUGGUUUCUAUAGUUAUACAUCGGGUCCUCCGGAUCCAGAGAAAUGAACAAAAUAAAAUAGCUAGGCUGACUUUUGGUUAGUAAGAGCGAUCAGGAAACCACAACACAUUUUAUUUUAGAUUCCUUCAGACUAUCAAAGAUUAUAGAAAAAACAAAUCUGUGAAGUGCCAAACAUUCCAAAUAAAAAAAGAAAACUGACUAUUUGAAGAAUAUGCACAUAAAAUACAUCAAGAAAAAUUAAUUUUCAUAAAAGUACUGAUAUCGAAUUAACAUGAUAAAGAUUUACAGCUUACAGGAUCAUCGAAAAGGAUACUAGAAGCAAAGUCAAACUGAGGAAGGAUAGCGAUAGGAUUUUUUUCAACUCCAACCGCCCCUUUGGAAAAGACCACUUAGUUUCUCUCUUUGAUUGUAAUCGUUGCAGUUCUAAUUCAAUAUAAAAUUCAAACAAAAAUACCCAAAAAUCAGUGGUUCAGAACUAGGAACAAAGUCAAACAAAGUAAAUUCUUUAUCCAAACCAGACAUUAAAAAUGGGAAAUCCAAAUUCUUAACACUAUUUGAUUAAACAUUAACGCUAAAUAAAAAUUGAGUAAUCGAGUACUUACUUGAAGCAAAUCUAUAAAGAUAGAAGAAGAUAGCUACUGUUCUUCUAUGUGGUUUUCAAGCCCUAGCUUUUUGCUAGUUGAAUAUUGUUUUGUUUAUAGGGGGAGAGAGAAGUGGGGGAGAUAAACCGAUAUGGAGAGUGAUUUUUGGGCUAAUAUGGGAGUAUCAGCCGAGAGAGAUUUCAAUCGGCAUUUGAAAAGAAAAACCUCUCUGAUGUAUAAAAGUGAAGGAGGGAACUGGGGAAAAGAUUGGUGGAAAUAUGAAAAAUUGGCGAUUUCCGGCAUAACUUUUACUAGCCAAGUAUUUUAAUUGUCAGCGAAAGGAUUUAUCGCCGGCUAUCAAUUAUUUGCCGGUAAAGAUUUUACUUAAAGUUUAAAUUAGCGGUAGUUAGUUUAUUGCCACUAAAUAUUGAUUGGUAAAAGUAAUUU